rnacentral:rRNA from 1 species
AGAGUUUGAUCAUGGCUCAGAACGAACGCUGGCGGCAGGCUUAACACAUGCAAGUCGAACGCACCGCAAGGUGAGUGGCAGACGGGUGAGUAACGCGUGGGAACGUGCCCUUCAGUUCGGGAUAACCCAGGGAAACUUGGGCUAAUACCGGAUACGUGCGAGAGCAGAAAGAUUUAUCGCUGAAGGAUCGGCCCGCGUCUGAUUAGCUAGUUGGUGGGGUAAUGGCCCACCAAGGCGACGAUCAGUAGCUGGUCUGAGAGGAUGAUCAGCCACAUUGGGACUGAGACACGGCCCAAACUCCUACGGGAGGCAGCAGUGGGGAAUAUUGGACAAUGGGCGCAAGCCUGAUCCAGCCAUGCCGCGUGAGUGAUGAAGGCCUUAGGGUUGUAAAGCUCUUUCGUCCGGGACGAUAAUGACGGUACCGGAAGAAGAAGCCCCGGCUAACUUCGUGCCAGCAGCCGCGGUAAUACGAAGGGGGCUAGCGUUGUUCGGAAUCACUGGGCGUAAAGGGCGCGUAGGCGGCCUGAUAAGUCGGGGGGUGAAAGCCUGUGGCUCAACCACAGAAUUGCCUUCGAUACUGUCGGGCUUGAGACCGGAAGAGGUAAGUGGAACUGCGAGUGUAGAGGUGAAAUUCGUAGAUAUUCGCAAGAACACCAGUGGCGAAGGCGGCUUACUGGUCCGGUUCUGACGCUGAGGCGCGAAAGCGUGGGGAGCAAACAGGAUUAGAUACCCUAGUAGUCC